CCAGCAGCUGCGGUAAUUCCUUCCCCGCAUUUGAGCUCAAAAACUUCCUCACUCUUCAAAUGAUUUUGUAGAUGGAUAAAUACAUGCAGGUAUUUUUAUUUUUUUCUAAUUUUAGCAUAUGGGAAAGUACUGUGAAUGGAUGAAUCGCGUUGAAAUUCAAAACAAAGACCAAAAAUACCUUUACUAACAACAUAUGGUUUGCCAAACCUGCUUUAAAUUAUAUGAGGUACUUUUUUUAAUUAGGAAAUUCAAAAAUUGAUCGAAACUGAAAAACAGUUUCACCAAAUGAUCGGAAUUCAGGUCAAAGACGAUACAACUUACAAUAUAAUCAAUACCAAUCAAGAAAUUAUACAAUGUUAAAUGGAACAACUACAGACAAGACAUAGUAUAUCAUCAAAUUUAAUUAAUUCAAGUUA
rnacentral:rRNA from 1 species